UGAGGAAUAUUGGACAAUGGUCGGAAGACUGAUCCAGCCAUGCCGCGUGCAGGAUGACGGCCUUAUGGGUUGUAAACUGCUUUUGUAAGGGAAGAAUAAGAGCUACGCGUAGUUUGAUGACGGUACCUUACGAAUAAGCAUCGGCUAACUCCGUGCCAGCAGCCGCGGUAAUACGGAGGAUGCGAGCGUUAUCCGGAAUCAUUGGGUUUAAAGGGUCCGUAGGCGGGCUAAUAAGUCAGGGGUGAAAUCGUUCAGCUCAACUGAGCAACUGCCUUUGAAACUGUUAGUCUUGAAUAGUUGUGAAGUAGUUGGAAUGUGUAGUGUAGCGGUGAAAUGCUUAGAGAUUACACAGAACACCGAUAGCGAAGGCAUAUUACUAACAAUUGAUUGACGCUGAUGGACGAAAGCGUGGGGAGCGAACA
rnacentral:rRNA from 1 species